UACGAAGGGGGCUAGCGUUGCUCGGAAUCACUGGGCGUAAAGGGUGCGUAGGCGGGUUUUUAAGUCAGGGGUGAAAUCCUGGAGCUCAACUCCAGAACUGCCUUUGAUACUGAAGAUCUUGAGUCCGGGAGAGGUGAGUGGAACUGCGAGUGUAGAGGUGAAAUUCGUAGAUAUUCGCAAGAACACCAAUGGCGAAGGCGGCUCACUGGCCCGGUACUGACGCUGAGGCACGAAAGCGUGGGGAGCAAACAGG
rnacentral:rRNA from 1 species